CCAGCACUGAUCUUCCUACUAAGGAUUGGUUGUGCUAUUCAGGGUCUUCCAUUAUUCUAGAUUAGUUUUUGGAUUGUUUCAUCUAUUUUCAGAUAUUCAUUCA